GCAUAGAACUGGCACUCAGGAGGCAUGGCACUCUGGCGAGCAUACCAGAGGGCCCUGGCUGCACAUCCGUGGAAAGUCCAGGUUCUGACAGCUGGCAGGGCUUCUCUGUGUUCCUGGCUGCUGUGGAACUCAGUCUGUGUGCCAGGAUGGCCUUCAACUGACAGAUCCACUUGCCUCUCCCUCCCAGAUACUGGGAUUAAAGGGUUGUGCCACCACUGCAUAGCCUAAGUAGUCCAUUCUUAAGAGCAUUUCCCCCAAGAGACUUCAUCUUGGGAAGCUAAAUGUUUUCCUCUUACACUUUAUAGUGUGCUGAGCACAUUGUGUACAUGCUUGGUAGUGUCCAAAGUUCUGUUAGCUGGAAUGACUCCACAUUAAAUCACACAUCCAACAAG
rnacentral:lncRNA from 1 species